UACGGGGGGUGCGAGCGUUGUCCGGAAUCACUGGGCGUAAAGGGCGCGUAGGUGGUUUGAUAAGGGUGUGGUGAAAGUCCGGGGCUCAACCCCGGAUCUGCCGUGCCGACUGUCAAACUCGAGGGCUGUAGAGGCAGACGGAAUUCCGGGUGUAGCGGUGGAAUGCGUAGAGAUCCGGAGGAAGACCGGUGGCGAAGGCGGUCUGCUGGGCAGUUUCUGACACUGAGGCGCGACAGCGUGGGAGCAAACAGG
rnacentral:rRNA from 1 species